rnacentral:tmRNA from 1 species
CCUGGCAAAGCUUUGAGCCAGAGGGGUAUUAAUGAAGCUACCGAGAGUGUAAGCCUGUUCAUGGGCGUGCACUUGGGGGAAUCUUAAAACAUGAACUGCACUCGGAGAAAGAUAAUGACGUCGGCUUUCGGACACGGGUUCGACACCCGUCACCUCCACCA